AUUGAACGCUGGCGGCAGGCUUAACACAUGCAAGUCGAGCGGGGGAGGUUGCUUCGGUAACUGACCUAGCGGCGGACGGGUGAGUAAUGCUUAGGAAUCUGCCUAUUAGUGGGGGACAACAUUCCGAAAGGAAUGCUAAUACCGCAUACGUCCUACGGGGGAAAGCAGGGGAUCUUCGGACCUUGCGCUAAUAGAUGAGCCUAAGUCGGAUUAGCUAGUUGGUGGGGUAAAGGCCUAACAAGGCGACGAUCUGUGGCGGGUCUGAGAGGAUGAGCCGCCACACUGGGACUGAGACACGGCCCAGACUCCUACGGGGGGCAGCAGUGGGGAAUAUUGGACAAUGGGCGGAAGCCUGAUCCAGCCAUGCCGCGUGUGUGAAGAAGGCCUUUUGGUUGUAAAGCACUUUAAGCGAGGAGGAGGCUCCUUUAGUUAAUACCUAAAGAGAGUGGACGUUACUCGCAGAAUAAGCACCGGCCAACUCUGUGCCAGCCGCCGCCGUAACAC
rnacentral:rRNA from 1 species